GGGGCCAUGGCUCAGUGGUAGAACGUCUGCAUUUGCCAUGCAGAUGGCCCCAGGUUCAAUCCCUGGUGUCUCCA